UAGCUCCGUUAUUGUUUGACGACCAGUUGGGCCCUAGAGGACCCUCCCAGGCGAUGAGCAGCUUCAGCUGGAAAUAACUAAACAGCUUUAAAGGGAAGGGGCUGAGGAGGAGGAAAGUUAAUGAGCUUCAAGCAGCGAAAGAGUUACAGCGCAAUUAACUCCCAGGCGGUCUCAUCGACCUAUGGCAAGGUCGUCCAUUCCAACCCAGAGUUUCCUCCCCAGCUAGAAUUAAAGUUAAUUCAGUGUCAAAGGACGUUGGAAGAAAAGCCCUGCACAGGACAAGAGUGAGAAAUCAAUGACCUUCACAGAGAAAGGGACACAAGUGGCUGCUCCUUCCUGCACAGAUCAGCAAGUGGGUGGACUUUAAGGUGCGACUGUUGGAUUGUCUGACCUAGACUGAAGGAAGUCUCAGUCCUGGCUGUUUGGGAAUAUCAUGGGAAUAUCCACCUGAUGCCUGCAGAAGCUGUUGGUUUUGACUACUGCUGCUGCUAUUUUCCUUAAGAUUAGAGUCCACAGAACUGUGAAUGGAGAAAAAAUUUUCUCUUCAAUCAACUGGGAAGCCCUGCGCUUUUGGCCCCCACACGCCACUUGGGCAUUCCGUGCUCAGGAUAGAGAGACCUAUGGUCAGUGGCCUCUCUCGCGUAUUUAACACCCAGAGCAGACAAUUUUUUUUAAUUUAAUUUUUUUUUCCUUUUUCUCCCCGAAGCCCCCCGAUACACAGUUGUAUAUUCUUCUUUGUGGGUCCUUCUAGUUGUGGCAUGUGGGAUGCCGCCUCAGUGUGGUUUGAUGAGCGGUGCCAUGUCCGCGCCCAGGAUUCGAACCAAUAAAACACUGGGCCGCCUGCAGCGGAGCACACGAACUUAACCACUCAGCCACAGGGCCAGCCCCUGAGCAGAUAAUUUUUAAUAUCAUCUCCUCUAUUCAACAAAAUUAUUUCAUCAAAAUCUUGAAAGAAAGUAAAAAAUAACAUGGCCAGAAAAGGCAGUGAAAAUUUCACAGGAAGUGAAAAUUUUCCUUUAUUAUACUUUAUAUAUAAUCUUGCCAGUAAAAGAGAAAGUUUAUUUUAUGUACAUAAAAGGAAAAAGCUGCAGCUGCUAUGGAAAACAGUAUGGAAAUUUCCCAAAAACUUAAAAAUAGAAUUACCAUAUGAUCCAGCUAUUCCACUUCUGGGUAUUUAUCCAACGAACACGAAAACACUAGUUCGAAAAGAUAUAUGCUUCCCUGCGUUCAUCACAGCAUUAUUCAGAAUACCAAGACUUGGAAGCAACCUAGGUGCCCAUCAAGGGAUGAAUGGAUAAAGAAGAUGUGGUGUAUAUACACAAUGGAAUACUACUCAGCCAUAAAACAAGAUAAAAUCAUACCGUUUGUGACAACACGGAUGGACCUUGAGGGUAUUAUACCAAGCAAAAUGAGUCAAACAGAGAAAGACAAACACCGUAUGAUUUCACUCUUAUGUGGAAGAUAAACAAACACACGUAUAAGACCAGAUUAGUGAUUACCAGAGGGGAAAAGAGUGGAGUAAACUUUAAUAAAAUCAAAAUAUCGACAAAAAGUUCAAGUCAGAAAACUAUUAAACAAAUAAUUAUAACUUUAAAAAAGAGUACACUUCAAUUUUAAAGAUAUUGUUCACAUUCAGUAAAAUAUUUCACGUAUGAACUAAAUUUGCACUUAAUAAAAAUACUGUACCCCACAGGCUUACAGUGUUUCACCGUUACAAAUUUUAAACCCAAAGAAACACUCGAAAUGUUCACAUACCAUGACAGAAAUGAGGUCAUUCAAAUUCUGUUUCUUUAUCUUUUACAAUCAUUAAAUGCAGGAAAACGCAGCAACGAGGAGGCGGCUGAGGAAGAGGCAGAACAGCUGAGUCUCUCCUCCCAGAGCAGGCAGAGGGGCAGGCGGCGGGGCAGGCGGCGGCGACCGGGGUUCUCUUUUCUAGUUUACCUAUUCAAAGCAUCUUCAGAAUAACAAAAAUGUAUCAGUUAGGGUUCGGUUCAGCUGCAUGUAACAGUAGCCCAAAUAAGCGACUGAGUAACUUACAAGUUUAUUUUCCCUCCCAUAAAAGAAGCCUGAAGUGGGCAGCCCGAGGCAGUAAAGGCAGCUCCACAGGCAUCAGGGACCAGAUGCUUUUCAUCUUUCUUCUCCAACGUGUUUAGCGCAAAGCUUAUAUCUUAUCUUCAAGGUCACCUCAUGGUCCAAGAUGGCUGUAGGAAUGCCAGCCAUCGUCUUUGCUUUCCGAGAGAGAAAAAAGAGGCACAUCACCACCUGGAAUAAAAGCAGAGCUCCGCUUGUGAGGACGAGGAGACUCAGGACUGAGCAGGUCCCGUAUCUCUGCCACAAGCUGAGUGCCAGUCCUGAGCAAGGCCUUCAUACCCAUCACCCCGCUCCUUCCUCAGAACGCUCCACAAGCCCGUCCCACUAAAACAAGACAAGUCUCAGGGAUUAUCAACCCAACAACCCAAUUUUAACUAACAUUUGAAUAGAAGUUUAGCUUUUAUACAAUUUCCCCCAAAGAUCAUUUAAUUCCCCAAACACCCUCCUUGCAAUAAAUAGUGCUCUUCACUAGAUUUUGCAGAGGAGGAAACUGAGAUCUCGAAAGCUUUGAUUGGUUCAAAGCCACACGCUAACGAGAGGCACAGCUGGACUAGUGACUUCCUGACAUAUGGCCACACAUUGGGCUUUAUUUCCGUAUUUUUUAAAGGAAAUUAAACAUACAGAAAGGUCCAGAGAAUAUUACAAAUGUCUAUCCAUGACUCAGAAUUAUCAAAUGCUGAUAAUUUUGUCAUUUUGCUUCCAAUUUCUUUUCUUUUAGAUUAAAAAGAACACUACUGAGAAAGUUGAAAUCUGCUUUGUAACCCUCCCCAUCACAUCCCCCUUGCUCCC
rnacentral:lncRNA from 1 species